GACAGGGGGCUCGAGCGUUAAUCGGAAUCACUGGGCUUAAAGGGCGCGUAGGCGGGCCGUCAAGUCAGGGGUGAAAGCCCGCAGCUCAACUGCGGAAGCGCCUUUGAUACUGGGGGCCUCGAGGGGGGUAGGGGCGUGCGGAACUUCCGGUGGAGCGGUGAAAUGCGUAGAUAUCGGAAGGAACACCGGUGGCGAAAGCGGCGCGCUGGACCCCUUCUGACGCUGAGGCGCGAAAGCCAGGGGAGCAAACGGG
rnacentral:rRNA from 1 species